AUUCAGGCUGUUGUAUGUGAAAAUGUUCAUUCUUUUUGUUCCCGAGCAGUUUUAAGGUAGGAGGGUACCACAGUUUAACCAUUCACCUUGGUUGUUUAUACUUAGUGUCUAUUUUGAAAAGAGUUAUUUUAAAUACACUUGUACAUUCUUUUGUUCACAUGUAAGUGAUUAUUUCUCUGGGACCAAUACUCAGGUUUUGGAUUGCAGGACUAUGGCGAUGUUAACACCUGUUUUGCAGUAACAGUAAAUUAAGCUAAGCUGUUUUCUAGCAGAUUAAUCAUUUAACACUCUUAACACCAGUAUGUAAGGAAUGUAGUUUCUCCACAUGCUUACCAGAACUUUGUGUUGUCAUUCUUUUUACUUUAUCCCAGUCAGUGGACAAUGAUUUUUAAUGUGCAUUUCCUUAAUGAUAAUUUUUUUGCUUGACAUUUACAUAAUUUUCACAGUAAAAUGCAUGUUCUCACCUUGCAUCUUUUUCUAUAUGGGUGAUUUCCUUGUUUUGGUAACAGCGUUUAACAUAAAGUAUGACAACAAUAAAAGUAUACAUGCACAAGAUAUUAUUGAUGAUGAUAGAAACAAUGUAUAUUGGAACUCGUAUGUCCCUAGUUUGGUAGAAGCUUUAAUGGAUCGUCAGCAGCAGAUCCCUUUCCUAGUCCCUGGUAACUUCCAUCCUACUCUGUGAACUUUCACCUACAAAUUAAGUCAUACAAAAUGUCUUUAAAUAACUGGAUUGUCUUGGCCCAACACCUCAAAGUUUAUCUUCUGUCAUUACAUAUUAUAAAUAUUUCUCUUUCAUAAUUUUACAAGGCUGAAAUAUUUCAUCUUAUAUGUAUGUAAAGGGGCGCAUUACACUCUCUUCUCUAUCUGCCUGCAGUCACCCAGGUAGUUUUCAUACCUUUAGUGUUAAGAGGAGCACUGCACCAGACAUAGGACUGCCAGUGUCUUGCCAGAACCAUGGUGAUAUGCAGUAAUUGCACUUCUGGGUCAUAUAGAAGUAGUAUUUAAAAUAUGUAGAGUAAUCUCAAUAACCUUGCUCAUAACAGUUUGGUUUGCUACAUUUACUUUCUGCCAACAGCAUAUCAUGGCUCCAAUUUCUCCAGAGCCUUGGAGAUAUGCAUUGCCUUUUGCUUCUGUCAAUCACCGCCCUUCAAGGAACAAGGCAACAGAUACCCCAUUGUGCUUUACUUUCCAUUUCCUCCUCAUCAGUCACCAUGAAGAGAUAUAUCAUACACCAGUGAGCUGCGCACAUCUUCACUGAAGAUGUUUUACUCAGACUAUUAUCCUAUUUCUAAAUCAAACCUUUGGGCAUUCUUUUAAAAUGCUUAUAGCAUUUAUUCCUCUACUUAUUUCAGUACAGAGUUAAACCAGUUCUCUGAAUAUUUGGAAAUUAUAUCAGACAAGUGAAUUGAGUAUUUACCAUUCUGCAGGUGACACUGAGCUCUGCUGAUUAUUCCCUUGGCUGUCCAGAGCUUUGGAAUUUGAUGUGGUCCCACUUCUCUAGUUGGGGUUCCUGUUGUCUGUGCUUUUAUUGUAAAACUCUUGGAACUAUUGCCAAGAUAAAUGUCUCAAAAUUUUUCCUGUAUGGUUCUCUAGGGUGAAGGGAAUAAUUUCCACUAUUAUAUUUAAGUCUUUAAUCUACUUGACAUGAUUUUAUUAAAUACUGUUUGAGAUAAUGAACUGAUAUAGUUCUUCUGCAAGGGUAGAUACAUGACUUUUGGUACCAUUUGUUGAGGAGACUGUGAUGUAUUUUUUAGAAUAUUACAGACCAUUUGACUACAAGCAUAUGGUUUUAUUUUGGAAUAUAUAUUCUGUUGUAUGUAUUUUUGUCUUUGUUUAUGUUAAUAUGAUAUCAUUCUUAUUACUAUAGCUUUUGAAAUUAUGUAGUGUAAUCUCCAGUUUUGUUCUCCUUGUCCUGGUUCCACCUAAGAAUUAGAAUUGAUUUUCCUAUUUCUGUAAAAUAUGUCAUAAGAAUUUUGAUAGAAUCAUUAGAUCCUUUCAUAUAGUAUGUAUAUUUAACAAGUUUCAUUCUCCCAAUCCAAAAGAAAGGGAAGUUGAUUGAUUUACUUGUUUGUAGUUGCAUUAAUGUUGUCUAAAUUUCUGUGUAAAUCUUUUCAAUUUCUUUAGUUAAAUUUAUGACUAACAAUUUCAUUGUUUUUGAUGAGAUAGGAGAGUUUUACUAAUUUAUUUUUCAUGUAGCUUAUUGUUAAUAUAUAAAAAUGUAGUGUUUUCAUGUGUUGUAUUCUAUUCUAAAUUUUUCCUGGUACGUUUGUUGAUUUCUUGAUUUCUAUGAAAUCUAAAGUUUUUAACAUGUUAUAACAUUUGAUUUUCAAACAGAGACUAUUUUCCUUAUUCCCUUCUUAUUUAGACCAUCUUUUUACUUUUUGUUACUUAGUUUUAUUGGCUGCGACUCCCAUAAUUAUGUUUGAACAAAAGUAUCACAAGUACACAUUUUUAUCUUGUCCCUCUCUUAAAGGGAAGAUUUUAAAAAAACAACUAUUUGAUACAUUACCUGUGUAGUUUUUAUAUGCAGAAUCUAUUAUGUUGAGGUAGGGUCUUGUUUCUUGUUUGUCAAGAAUUUUUAUAGUGAAAAAUUGCUGAAUUUUGCCAAGUGCCUUUUCUGCAGUGGUUGAGAUCAGAUGUGGUUCUUCUUUUCUUUUGUCCAUGCACAUAUCACAUUUGCUAAUCUGUUAUGCUGAUCCAUAUUGGCACUGACGAGUAAAAUCCACUUACCCUCCUGUAAAUACUCUUUCAUUGCCCCACAGGUUAAAUUUGCAGGCAUGUUGAAGAAGGCUACAACUCCUACGUUAUCAAAAACAUUAGCCUAUAACUUCCUUUUAUUUUUAUGGUAUCUUCAUCUGACUCUGAUAGCUGUAAUGCUCCCCUCCUAAAAGAUAUUGGGAAAUGCCCUCUUUUCUUAAAUUGUUAAGCAGUUUGGUAAAUGUUAGCAUUAUAUAUUUAAAUAUUUGGUUGAAUUUGUCCAUGAAGCCAUUGGGUCCAGGAUUUGUUGUGUUGAAACUUUCUGGUUUUUAUCUACUGAUCAUCGUUUGUGGUUCUUAAUGACUUACUCCUGUUAAGUUUACAUUUCUAGGAAUCCAUCUAUGCAUUCAAUGUUGUACAUUUUAUUAUUAUCUAAUUGUUUGCAGUCAUUUCCAGGGAUUCUCUCUCUCUCUCUCUCUCUCUCUCUCUCUCUCUCUCUCUCUCUCUCUCUCUCUCUCUCUCUGUAGUUAUAUUUUAGUUUCUACAUGGUAUACACACACAAUCCGAAGUUAACUAAAGCAUUCAGUCUUACAACAUAAAUUACCUUUCAAAUUUCCAUUACAAUUUUUCC
rnacentral:lncRNA from 1 species